GAUGAACGCUGGCGGCGUGCCUAAUACAUGCAAGUCGAGCGUACAGACGAGGAGCUUGCUCCUCUGACGUUAGCGGCGGACGGGUGAGUAACACGUGGAUAACCUACCUAUAAGACUGGGAUAACUUCGGGAAACCGGAGCUAAUACCGGAUAAUAUAUUGAACCGCAUGGUUCAAUAGUGAAAGACGGUUUUGCUGUCACUUAUAGAUGGAUCCGCGCCGCAUUAGCUAGUUGGUAAGGUAACGGCUUACCAAGGCAACGAUGCGUAGCCGACCUGAGAGGGUGAUCGGCCACACUGGAACUGAGACACGGUCCAGACUCCUGCGGGAGGCAGCAGUAGGGAAUCUUCCGCAAUGGGCGAAAGCCUGACGGAGCAACGCCGCGUGAGUGAUGAAGGUCUUCGGAUCGUAAAACUCUGUUAUUAGGGAAGAACAAAUGUGUAAGUAACUAUGCACGUCUUGACGGUACCUAAUCAGAAAGCCUCGGCUAACUACGUG
rnacentral:rRNA from 1 species